CAUUAUACAGCGAAACUGCGAAUGGCUCAUUAAAUCAGUUAUCGUUUAUUUGAUAGUACCUUACUACUUGGAUAACCGUGGUAAUUCUAGAGCUAAUACAUGCUAAAAACCCCGACUCACGAAGGGGUGUAUUUAUUAGAUUAAAAACCAAUGCCCUUCGGGGCUCUUUGGUGAUUCAUAAUAACUUUUCGAAUCGCAUGGCCUUGCGCCGGCGAUGGUUCAUUCAAAUUUCUGCCCUAUCAACUUUCGAUGGCAGGGUCUUGGCCUGCCAUGGUUACAACGGGUAACGGAGGGUUAGGGCUCGACCCCGGAGAAGGAGCCUGAGAAACGGCUACUACAUCCAAGGAAGGCAGCAGGCGCGCAAAUUACCCAAUCCCGAUUCGGGGAGGUAGUGACAAUAAAUACUGAUACAGGGCUCUUUUGGGUCUUGUAAUUGGAAUGAGUACAAUUUAAAUCCCUUAACGAGGAACAAUUGGAGGGCAAGUCUGGUGCCAGCAGCCGCGGUAAUUCCAGCUCCAAUAGCGUAUAUUAAAGUUGUUGCAGUUAAAAAGCUCGUAGUUGAACCUUGGGCCUGGCUGGCCGGUCCGCCUCACCGCGUGCACUGGUUCGGCCGGGCCUUUCCCUCUGGGGAACCUCAUGGUCUUCACUGAUCGUGAUGGGGAACCAGGACUUUUACUGUGAAAAAAUUAGAGUGUUCAAAGCAGGCCUAUGCUCGAAUACAUUAGCAUGGAAUAAUAAAAUAGGACGUGUGGUUCUAUUUUGUUGGUUUCUAGGACCGCCGUAAUGAUUAAUAGGGACAGUCGGGGGCAUCAGUAUUCAAUUGUCAGAGGUGAAAUUCUUGGAUUUAUUGAAGACUAACUACUGCGAAAGCAUUUGCCAAGGAUGUUUUCAUUAAUCAGGAACGAAAGUUAGGGGAUCGAAGACGAUCAGAUACCGUCGUAGUCUUAACCAUAAACUAUGCCGACUAGGGAUCGGACGGUGUUACUUAUUGACCCGUUCGGCACCUUACGAGAAA
rnacentral:rRNA from 1 species